rnacentral:rRNA from 1 species
UACGUAGGCAGCGAGCGUUGUUCGGAAUUACUGGGCGUAAAGAGUGCGUAGGCGGUGCUCUAAGUCUGUCGUGAAAUCUCCCGGCUUAACUGGGAGGGUGCGGCGGAAACUGGAGUGCUCGAGUGUGGGAGAGGUAAGCGGAAUUCCUGGUGUAGCGGUGAAAUGCGUAGAUAUCAGGAGGAACACCUGUGGUGUAGACAGCUUACUGGACCACGACUGACGCUGAGGCACGAAAGCGUGGGUAGCAAACAGG